CUCCAAACCCAAUGUGAACGUUACCAAACUGUUGCCUCGGCGGGGUCACGCCCCGGGUGCGUCGCAGCCCCGGAACCAGGCGCCCGCCGGAGGAACCAACCAAACUCUUUCUGUAGUCCCCUCGCGGACGUAUUUCUUUACAGCUCUGAGCAAAAAUUCAAAAUGAAUCAAAACUUUCAACAACGGAUCUCUUGGUUCUGGCAUCGAUGAAGAACGCAGCGAAAUGCGAUAAGUAAUGUGAAUUGCAGAAUUCAGUGAAUCAUCGAAUCUUUGAACGCACAUUGCGCCCGCCAGUAUUCUGGCGGGCAUGCCUGUCCGAGCGUCAUUUCAACCCUCGAACCCCUCCGGGGGAUCGGCGUUGGGGAUCGGGACCCCUCACACGGGUGCCGGCCCCUAAAUACAGUGGCGGUCUCGCCGCAGCCUCUCCUGCGCAGUAGUUUGCACAACUCGCACCGGGAGCGCGGCGCGUCCACGUCCGUAAAACACCCAACUUUCUGAAAUGUUGACCUCGGAUCAGGUAGGAAUACCCGCUGAACUUAAGCAUAUCAAUAAGCCGGARGAA
rnacentral:rRNA from 1 species